AUAAUUAUUAGUAAAAUCUGCUCCAUGUAAAAUAAAUAGCCGCAGAAUAUUAACUGUGCUAAGGUAGCAUAAUCAUUUACCUUCUAAUUUAAGGUCUGUAUGAAAGAUUUUACAAUUAAAAUACUUUUUUAUUAUAAAAAAUUGAAAUUAAACUAAACAUAAAAAUGUUUUUAUUAAAUAAAAAGACGAUAAGACCCUUUUGAACUUUACUUAAGUUUAGCUGGGGAAGCUAGUUAAAUAUAAUUUUAACUUUAAAUUUAUAAAAAAUUUCUAAUAACAUUAAUUUAACAAGUUACCAUGGGGAUAACAGCGUAAUAUAAUUUUAAAGCUCAUAUUGAAAAUUAAGAUUACGACCUCGAUGUUGAAUUAGAAUAUCUUUAAACCGCAAUAGUCUAAAAGAAGGUCGU
rnacentral:rRNA from 1 species